rnacentral:lncRNA from 1 species
AGGCUUUCUGCUUCCUGACAGCCAGGCUUUCUGCAUGAAGGUGAAGGCACUCCUGAACCAGGAGCACAAAUCAUUCCUUCUCCUAAGUCCUGGACAGAAACCCUGCUUCAUUGGAGGGUGUGAUGGUUUGUAUAUGCUUGGCCCAGGGAGUGGCAUUAUUAGAAGGUGUGGCCUUGUUAGAGUAGGUGUGUCACGGUGGGUGUGGGCUUUAAGACCCUCAUCCUAGCUGCCUGGAAGUCAGUCUUCUCCCAGCAGCCUGCAGAUGAAGAUGCAGCACUCUCAGCUCCUCCUGCACCAUGCCUGCCUGGACGCUGCCAUGUUCACACCUUGAUGAUAAUGGACUGAAGCUCUGAACCUCCUGAAACCUGCUUGCUCAGGGGUGGAGCUUCCUGCUCAUUCGUUCUGCCACGCCCACUGCUGGAACCUGCGGAGCCACACACGUGCACCUUUCUACUGGACCAGAGAUUAUUCGGCGGGAAUCGGGUCCCCUCCCCCUUCCUUCAUAACUAGUGUCGCAACAAUAAAAUUUGAGCCUUGAUCAGAGUAA